UGGAGAUCUAUUGGCGGAUUGUCUGACUGACCGACUGACUACCACCUUUUUUGUAUACGAUCCCUAAUGAAGUCACAUCUCCCCUACCAUCUCACCUGACUUCCCAUCCUACCCCAGCCACCCAUCCCAGCCCCCCCACCCCACCCCCUUUGGAGGAUAAAGGAGCAAGGAUGCUUGAUAAGGAGCUAGCAGAUGCUACGGUUAUCAAUCCUGCAUCCCAUCCUGCUGAGCAACCGUUUCGCCCACCUGCUUCCAGAGAUUCCUGCUCCUUCAUCCUUUAUCCUGUUUCCUGAUGGUCCAGCUUAGGGGGUCUGAACUAAUAAAACAGAGAUAAUGAAACAGGAUUUUACUGAGCUGAUCAACACCCUAAAAGUCUCUGAAAAGCAUCCAAUUAUCUCUGGUCCUGUGAAGUCGCUGGGUCGCGGCUGUGAAAGGUUCAGCAGAAUCUUAGCACGUCAUAUCUGGUUUAAAGACUACUACCACUCUGUUGGCAUAACUUUUGACAACUGACACCUUUUGGAAACAAAAAAUGCUCUACAGAGAUGAUGGACUCCACCCAAACCAUCUAGGAGCCUGGACCCUCUAUUCAUAUUUCAAGGCUGCAUUAAGAUAUUGACUCAGCCCUGUUCAAGUUGGACAACAUGGGGUUUUGACCCUGGAGGUUGCUCAGCCGCAGUAAACAACAAGCAGUUCACUCUCUCCUGUUGUGGGAUGGGCAGGCAGCACUAGCUGAUUGUCCAGUGAAUACCAUCUUUUCGCUUGACCUCUCUGACAUAUCCCCGGUGGCAUCCUACCAUCUCAGCUUCCUGUCUUACGCCUCUGACCAGUGUUCUCAUACACAUAGAGACACACAGAGACACCAAGGAUGAGAUGUUCUCACCUACCUGCCCUAUGAAAUACAUCGGAGUCAGGGCAUCAGUUAAGCCUACGGAGCUACAGUAACAGUGGACCCUCCAUUUUGUACUUGAUUCUUCCCUAGAGACUUAGAAAACAGCACUAUAAGGUUAGCAAUGCACUGACAGACCUAAUGGUGAUGGGUAAUCUAGAGGGAGGAUAUUUGUCAAGCAAAACCAUGGCAAUAAGAGUGAAGAGGAUUACAUGACAUGCAAGGAUGUUGCUAGAUUAGGUAAGACUGGCUUCUCUACAUUGACAAACAAAAACAUUAGUAAACUAGGCGUGUGUUGUUCUGAGUCGGUAAGCCUGAAGGCUUGGUUUGUUGUGAUGCCAUAAGGCAUAGAGCGAUCUCUUUUUCCAUCCCUUUCCCGCUCUCCCUAGCUCUCUCUUUCUCCCUCUCUCCCUUUAUCCUUAUCACUGCAUUCUCUCCCUUUCUCCAUUUAUCACGCUCUCUUUUUCUCCAUUUCUCUCCUCUCUCUCCAGUUAACCAUGUCACUUGUUAGUCUGUAAUUAUCUGUUGUAACUAAGUACUGAUGUUUCUACCUUUGACCUUUUUAACUGCCACUAUCAAAUGUCCGCCAGUGUUGAAUGUGAUGUUUAAAGUUUUACACCAGACUGGGGCAAGGACACACUGAUAAUGUAUCUGUGACACUAUGAAUCUAUAGCUGCUGAUGUUGUGACUUCCUACAAGCCUCUCGGGCUGGUGUUUACAGAACAUUUGGUGCAGUGUGAUUAAUAUAAAAAGGGCCUUCUCAGAGAACGCCCGUUAGACAUUUUUCUGUUGCAACUUGUAAUUAAAGCAAAAUUAUUUUGAUUGAUAUCAACAACUCCUCUCCUUUUU